rnacentral:RNase_P_RNA from 2 species
AUUUUACAAAUGAUGAUCGCUCCACCUUCGUUCUUCACUCCGUUUCGAACUAUGGUGGACAAGCCCUGUUUUGAGUUGGGGACUUGUCCUCCGAAGCUCAAGCAAAGCGAAGAGCGUAGGAGGAGAGGAAAGUCCGAACUUCCUUUGGAGAAAUCUAAUGUCAAGGUAGUGGAUAACAUCCACCCUCCAUCUUUUACGAGAAUUGGAGCGGGAAAGUGCCACAGAGACUAUACUAGCCAGCCGAUUCGGCGGGCAAAAGGUGAAAAGUGGUUUGAUGUCAUUUGCACAAUUGACAAAUGGCUACAAACUUCGACUCCCAGUGAUGGGAUGUCGUGGUAAACCCUACCUGAAGAAAGAGCAGCGUUACGAUUUAUCGUUUCGAAAAGUUAGCUCGUUUGAUCCCGACAGUAAUGUCGGGACUAGAUAAAUGAUCAUCUUGUUUCCUUUUGGAAACAAACAAAAUUCGGCUUAUAUUUGUAGAAUGAAC